rnacentral:rRNA from 1 species
UAAAAAGUUACUUUAUUUUUAUAUAAAUUUAUAUUAAAAAUAUUUUUUAUUUAAAUGUUGUUUUAUUUAAACUGUAAAGGAUUAUUUAUUUAAAGAAAAAGUAAUUUUUUGUACCUUUAGCAUAAGGGAUUUUUAAAAAUAAAUAAAAAUUUAUUUAUUUCGAAGUUAACUGAUCUAUUAUAUAUAUAAAUAAUUUAUAUUUCAUAAUAAAUUAUUAAUAUUUAAUAGAAGUGAAAUUCUUAUCAAAGUUAAUGAUAUCUAAUUGUUUUUUUAAAAAUAAAAUUUUUCUUAUAAUAAUAACUAUUUAUUAUAAUUAUAAGUAAUUAUAUAAGGGAUAAGCUUUAUAUAAAUUUAUAUUUAAUUACAUUCAAUUCUGAAUAAGAAUUAAAAUUUUUCUUAUAUUGUUAUAAAUAAUUUUUAAUUAUUAUAGAUCAAAAAUAAUUGAUUUUUAUUUUUAAGAAUUUUUUUAAAAAAUAAAUAUGAGAAUAUUAGUAUAAUAAAAUCUAUAAGUAAAAAUUAAACUGAAAUAUAUUCAGAAAAAUAAAUUCUAGAAAUUCGGCAAAAAUUUUUUUUGACUGUUUAAUAAAAACAAUGUAUUUAGAAGUUUAAUUAAAUAUAAAUCCUGCUCAAUGAAAUAUUAAAUUGCUGUAGUAUUUUGACUAUACAAAGGUAUUGUAAUAAGACUUUAAUUGAGUGCUAAAAGAAUGGACUUUCAAAAAAAUACUAUCUUGAAUUUAAAAAUUGAAUUUAUUUUUAUUUGUGAAGAAACAAUAAUUAGAAUUAAGGACAAGAAGACCCUAAGAAUUUUUAAAUUAUUUAUAUAUUGUUAUAUGUAUAAUUAAUUUUUAAUUGGGGCGAUUAUAAAAUAUAAUUAACUUUGAAUUUUAAAAAAUGAUCCAUUAUUAAUGAUUAAAUGUAAAAAAUACUCUAGGGAUAACAGCGUAAUAAUUUUAGAUAGCUCUUAUAGAAAAAAUAGUUUGCGACCUCGAUGUUGGAUUAGGAUACUUUCUUAAUGAAGAAGUUAAGAUAAGAAGUUUGUUCAACUUUUAAAAUCCUACAUGAUCUGAGUUUAGACCGAUGUGAAUCAGGUUGGUUUCUAUCUUAAUUAAGAUUAAAUUCUUUAAUUAGUACGAAAGGAAUUUUAAAGAAAAAUUAUUUUAUUAAUACAUCAGUUUUUGCAUCAAUUUUUGGAAUU